rnacentral:misc_RNA from 1 species
CCUGAAAGAACCUGCCUUUGUAGUGUCCACACAGAUUGUCUGAUGAAAAACGAGCAGUAAAACCUCUACAGGCUUGUAGCUCAGGUGGUUAGAGCGCACCCCUGAUAAGGGUGAGGUCGGUGGUUCAAGUCCACUCAGGCCUACCAAAUUCGCUCCCGUGCUUUGUUGUGGCAAAGCUCGCAUACUUCAGUAUGCUUCGCUUCACCACGCCGGGCCCGGAAACGAAUUGGGGAUGAGGUUUAACUACACUGUAUGGGGCUAUAGCUCAGCUGGGAGAGCGCCUGCUUUGCACGCAGGAGGUCUGCGGUUCGAUCCCGCAUAGCUCCACCAUCACUGUGGAACGUUGAUAAAAAAAUACUUCAGAGUGUACCUGAAAGGGUUCACUGCGAAGUUUUGCUCUUUAAAAAUCUGGAUCAAGCUGAAAAUUGAAACACAGAACAAUGUAACGAUUGUUCGUGAGUCUCUCAAUUAUCGCAAUCAGAAGAGAAACAUCUUCGGGUUGUGA